rnacentral:rRNA from 2 species
GACAUCUGAGGUGAUAACGAAUGGCGGGGAAUUAGGGUUCGAUUCCGGAGAGGGAGCCUGAGAAACGGCUACCACAUCCAAGGAAGGCAGCAGGCGCGCAAAUUACCCAAUCCUAACACAGGGAGGUAGUGACAAGAAAUAUCAAUACCGGAUUCUUUCUGAAUUUGGUAAUUGAAAUGGGUACAAUUUAAACCUCUUAACGAAAUCCACUGGAGGGCAAGUCUGGUGCCAGCAGCCGCGGUAAUUCCAGCUCCAGUAGCGUAUAUUAAAGUUGUUGCAGUUAAAAAGCUCGUAGUUGGAUUUGUGGUUCGAACGCCGGCUCUUUUCCGGUCUUGUUAUCGGGGGGAGUCCAAGUGUCCUCCUCUUUUGGGGGCCUUUUGGCAAUGAGCCGCCUUUGUUUUCUUUCUUCGGAAAGGGAGCAUCUUUUACUUUGAAAAAAUUGGAGUGAUUCAAGCAGGCAUAGAAUUUUCUUAUUUAUGCAACUGCACAGAUUAGCAUGGAAUAAUGCAAGAGGACUUGGGUUUCUCUUUCAUUGGUUUCAGGAAUCCGAGUAAUGAUUGAUAGGGACAGUUGGGGGUGCUCGUACUCGACGGCCAGAGGUGAAAUUCUUGGAUUCGUUGAAGACGAACAACUGCGAAAGCAUUCACCAAGGAUGUCUUCUUUAAUCAAGAACGAAAGUUGGGGGAUCGAAGAUGAUCAGAUACCGUCGUAGUCCCAACCAUAAACGAUGCCGACCAGGGAUCAGCGAGCGUUGAC